UCAUUGAACCGCAUGGUUCAAUUAUAAAAGGUGGCUUUUAGCUACCACUUACAGAUGGACCCGCGGCGCAUUAGCUAGUUGGUGAGGUAACGGCUCACCAAGGCAACUAUGCGUAGCCGACCUGAGAGGGUGAUCGGCCACACUGGGACUGACACACCGCCCAUACUCCUACGGGAGGCAGCAGUAGGGAAUCUUCCGCAAUGGACGAAAGUCUGACGGAGCAACGCCGCGUGAGUGAUGAAGGUUUUCGGAUCGUAAAACUCUGUUGUUAGGGAAGAACAAGUACCGUUCGAAUAGGGCGGUACCUUGACGGUACCUAACCAGAAAGCCACGGCUAACUACGUGCCAGCAGCCGCGGUAAUACGUAGGUGGCAAGCGUUGUCCGGAAUUAUUGGGCGUAAAGCGCGCGCAGGCGGUUUCUUAAGUCUGAUGUGAAAGCCCCCGGCUCAACCGGGGAGGGUCAUUGGAAACUGGGGAACUUGAGUGCAGAAGAGGAGAGUGGAAUUCCACGUGUAGCGGUGAAAUGCGUAGAGAUGUGGAGGAACACCAGUGGCGAAGGCGACUCUCUGGUCUGUAACUGACGCUGAGGCGCGAAAGCGUGGGGAGCGAACAGGAUUAGAUACCCUGGUAGUCCACGCCGUAAAC
rnacentral:rRNA from 1 species